UACGUAGGGGGCAAGCGUUGUUCGGAUUUACUGGGCGUAAAGGGCGCGUAGGCGGCAAUUCAAGUCAGCUGUGAAAUCUCCGGGCUUAACUCGGAACGGUCAGCUGAUACUGCUUUGCUAGAGUGCAGAAGGGGCAAUCGGAAUUCUUGGUGUAGCGGUGAAAUGCGUAGAUAUCAAGAGGAACACCUGAGGUGUAGACAGCUUACUGGACCACUUCUGACGCUGAGACACGAAAGCGUGGGUAGCAAACAGG
rnacentral:rRNA from 1 species